rnacentral:lncRNA from 1 species
GAGCGCGAGCCGUACCAGCUACAGCAGGCUGCCCGAACCCCAUGCUGGUUUGCUUUGGAGAGCGGAGAGGCAAUCAAUGUGUGCUCACAAAAGGGGAAGAGCAUUCAGAGAGCCAACUGUUCCCUCAGGCCAUGGGGCAGGAGCGGAGCAGCUGCUGCCCAGAGAACUGUGGGAACUGCAUUCAGAUCUGAGCACAUUAGUCACCAGAUGUCACCUUUCACUGCCAGCCCCUC